ACAAAUGGGAUGUUCAAGAAGGAGCAGCAAUCAUACGCAGGUUCCUAUGUGGCAAAAAGGUUCUUUUAGUUCUUGAUGAUGUGAACCAUUUGCAUCAAUUAGAAUAUUUGGCUGGAAAUCAAGAGUGGUUUGGAUUGGGGAGCAGAGUUCUCAUUACAACUAGAGAUGAGCAUUUGCUACUUAAACACGGAGUGGAGAGACGGUUUGAGGUUAAAGGACUCAAUAACGAUGACUCUCUUCAACUUUUUAGCCGGAAUGCCUUUAAGAAAGAUUGCCCUGAACCUUGUUUUGUUCAUUUGUCAAAUCGUGUGGUAAAUUAUGCCAAAGGUCUUCCACUAGCUCUUAAAGUCUUGGGAUCUUUUUUGUACGGAAGAGAUUUAAGUUCAUGGAACAAUGUGUUGGAUAAACUAAGAGAAAUUUGUAAUUCAGAAGUUUUUGAGACACUUAAAAUAAGUUACGAUGCUCUAGAUGACAAUGAGAAGAAAAUUUUUCUAGACAUUGCAUGUUUCUUUAAUGGAGAGGAAAAAGAUGGAGUAAGACAGGCACUUGAAGCUAGUGGUUUUUAUGCACAUAUUGGAAUAGAUGUCCUUAUUGAGAAAUCUCUCUUAACUGUUAAUUCAGUCGGUCAGCUGUCGAUGCAUGAUUUACUCCAAGAAAUGGGUCAAGAAAUUGUCCGUCGAGAGUCUCCUGAUGAUCCAGGCAAGCGUAGCAGGUUGUGGCGUACAGAUGACAUCAAUCGUGUCCUGAGCGAAAAUGCAGUAAGAGGCUCUUAUUACAGUACUGGAUUUGAUUGCACUAGUUAUGCUUUGCUUAUGUUAUGACCUAGAAUAUAUUCAUGUUGACCAGGGAACAGAAACAAUUGAAUGUAUAAUCAUGGACCCAGAUGAGCUAGGAGCAGUCCAAGUGAAUGCUAAAUCCUUUUCAAUGAUGAAAAAUCUGAGAUUCCUCCGGCUAUAUAAUGAGAACCUCUUUAACAGGCUUGAAUAUCUUCCCAAUAGUUUGCAGUUUCUUCAAUGGUGCAGCUUUCCUCUAAAAACUUUGCCGUCAUCUUUUUGUCCAGAGCAUCUAGUGGAACUUCACAUGGUGUAUAGUAGCCUUGAACAUCUUUGGAAGGGAAUAAAGGUAAUUCUCUCACUCAUUGAUUUUUAUUAACUACAUUAACAUCAUGCACUGCUAAUUUUGCUAUGUUUUCACAUGAUAACAGCAUGCGUACAAUUUGAAAAUCCUUGAUCUUAGUGAGUCUCCAGUUCUUGUGGAAACUCCAGACUUCAGAGGUAUGCCAAAUCUGGAGUAUCUGAAUCUUUCACUUUGCGACCAAUUGUAUGAAGUUGACCAGUCUCUGGGGACACUUGAAAGACUUCAGGUUCUGAUGUUGAUUGGUUGCAGAAACCUUGCGCAUCUUCCAAGAAGUGUAUCUGGUUUAAAGUCUCUGAGAGUUCUUGAUGUUUAUGGUUGCUCAAGGCUUAAAAAUUUGCCAGAAGACUUGGGCCAUGUUGAGAGUUUGGAACGGCUUGAUGUGUGUGGAACUGCUAUAACUGAACCACCUUCUUACAUUGGUCUUUUUAGGAACCUGAAGAAAUUAUCAUUCGACAGUUUUACAAAAUAGAAGUUCAAGUUGGCCACAUUUGUGGUUGUCUUCUUCAUCUGGUUGGCAAUCUUUAACGCACUUGAGUCUACGAGACUGCAAGAUUUUGGAUGGAGGAAUUUUAAAUGAUAUCGGCUGCCUCUCCUCAUUAAGGCAUUUGGUUCUAGCCCGAAAUCCUCUUUCUAGCUUACCCAUGAGUAUUUGUCAACUCUCCAAACUUGAAUACCUUGAUGUGUCUGGUUGCUACUGUCUUCAAACAUUAAUCCCAGAGCUUCCUUCUGCAAUAUCUUUUGUUAACGCUUCCAAUUGCACGGCAUUGGAAUCAGCUCGUGUAGACAUGAUUAAGCUUUUUGCUAACUGUUUCAAGCGGGUGGAGAAGCAAGUUUGCACGAGUAUGAUAUUUGAUUGUCUAGGAUGCAAGUUUGUGGUUCCUGGAAGUGAAAUUCCAGAGUGUCAUGUUAUAUGAAUUUGGUUGAUUCAUGUUUCUCUCACUUCAUAAAAUUUGCUUCUAAUUUGAUAUAGGAAUUAAUUUGGAAAGUUUUCUUAAUCUUAAUAACAAUUUUCAAUUUAAAUAUAUUUUUUAAUGAAAUAGUCUAUCUUUUAAAAUAUUUAUCAAUAAAAUAAUGUACCUAUAUAUAUAUAAUUUUUUUUUUGCCAACUAUAAAUUUUUACCAUAAUUUACCUAUAUAAUAAUGUACCUGUUAUUUAAUUUUUACAACACUAAUGUAUCUUAAAAAUAAUUUACUUAUUGUUUAGUUUUAGCAAAAAUAAUUUACCUACUGUGUAUAAUUGGUGAAGCUAAUGAUGUACAUAUUGUUUAAUUUUUUAAAAAUUAAUGUAUGUACAAAAAUAAUUUAUCUAUUGUUCAAAUUUUAGGAUAAAAAUUUACAUGUUUUUAUUUAACAAUAAUGUAUCUACAAUUUUAUUUUUGUAUGAAUAUAAUUUACCUACUUUUUAAUUUUAUAUGAAACUAAUUUACCUACUGUGUCAGUAAUAUAUCUACAAUUUUACAUACAAUAUUUACCUUUUUUUUUUCUCACAACAAUAGUGUAUCUACAAUUUUGUUUUUGUAUGAAUAUAGUUUACCUACAAUUUAACUUUUCAAAAAAUGUAUCUUCUAUUUUAUAUUUUACUAUCAUAUAUAUGUUUCUGUGUUCGCAAAAUAAUUUAUCUAAAGUUAUAUAGUUAAGAGAUAUGCUAAUGAAUUAUAUUAAUUCAUUAUUAGACUGAUAUAAGAAAUUGUUAAAAACGUUAGUUAUAAUGGUUGGCUAAUAAUGGUUGUAUGAGAACAGUUAUAGAAAGUUGUGGCAUAAAUUGUAAAUAACUUAUAUUAAUAGGUUAUUUAUUUUCUUAUGUGGUAAUUUAUUUAAAUUUUGGGUUUUGAUUGAAUGUUUAUUCAUAAGUGGGUUUUUAUCUGAAGUAUAUGAGUUGUAUGGGUCUAUAUCUAAACAACCCUUAAUUUUAUUCAGUAAGCAUAAACACUUUACACUUCAUAUACAGCCUAAAACAAUAGAGCAAUAUAAGAAACUGUUGAAAGCAAACAUUAAAUUUGCGAUUACCCCAAUCUUCUACUUGAUCAUAUACCAAGUUAUUGAAGCUGACAUUUUUUAUUCUAUAAGCUUAGAAAUCAUAAGAAAAACAAUUGUUGAGUUGAUAGUAAUCUCAAAUAGCAAUCUCUAACAAAAAUUUGACCAUAAAAAAUGUAUAUCCAUCUCCCAAUCAGUAUCAAUCUUCAUCCUCAACAAAAAGUUUCAGUUUUUCUUGCAAAAACACACAUACCCCAGUGCUUAGUUUUCCAAAGAUUAUAACCAAAUGGUUCAGCUGCUAGUGUUGGUGCCCGAAGCGCUGAACUGAAAUGCACCCACUAGAAAUCCAAAUAAACAACCCUGCAAAGCAACUAAACUAAUUUCAGCAAUUCUACCUAAACAUAAAUAGAACAAUUACACAAACCUUACAAUCAAAGGUCUAAUUUUUCAACUACAUACAACAAACUCAGAUCAUUUAGGUGUGAAUCAAAAUCAUAAAUACCCAAGCCUAAAAUAGAGACUUUAAAGACCUAUUUGAAAUUAAUAUCAUGUAUGCUUUUAGUUUCUAAUUAUAAUGGAAAUGACAUGGAAAAUAUAUUCAUUGAAACACUAAAUGAACAACACAAUAGUAUCACACCACAAAUUCCCAAUUACAGUGAUACAUGCUUGAUCACACAAACUUUCUGUUCAGCAAUCCGAUUAUGAAACCACCAAGUCUAAGGAGUUUUAUAACUAAAAUUCUAGUGGGUAAAGGGUGACAACAUUUUUGAAGUAAAAUUAAAGAUCACUAAACAUAUAUUAGUACAAAUAAAGAUAUACCCAACACACAAGAUCACAAAAGAAGAACUUUUACUUGAGCAGCACAAAAGGACAUCCUCUGCAUUUCAUUCAAAAUCCAACAAUCUGAGCUCAAAAUAAUUCAAAAAUUGUGUGUGAAACUCACUUAUCACUCAAAAUGAUUCAAGAAACUUUUACCUUACCAUAUAUUUGGAGUGCAGUGAGGCUUUGAGAGUUGACACUGUUCAGUGCUCAUCAAGAAUUGUGUAUCAUACUCACUUAUCACUCCCCUAUAUAGGAAAAGAAGGCCAUAAGUAUUAUGGACAUAAGUAAUAUGAAUAUUUUCCUUUUUAUUUCUCUCUCAUGAGGAAUUCCUAUGCAAGGGCCUUUAGCUAAAGUGUUUAAAAACAUUUAUCGUACUCGAGUCCUAAGUUUGAUUCUAGAAGUUAUUGAAAUUUCGAAGACGAUGUGGAAUGCAAUAACAGAUCGAUGUUACUCUUUUUCCUUCCAAGCAAGAUUUUGAUGAGGCCACUCAAAAUUGCUUCAUUUCAAUUUUCAAUGAAUAUUCUACUUUUUUUCGAAAAAAAAAAAAAGGUAAAUUACAUGGUAGCCCCUCAUGUUUGAGGUCUAUUACAACUCCAUACAACAUCUUUAAAACAUUUAACUUUCAUACCUCACGUACUAUUUUAUUUCAAAAUAAUACUUCUGUUACAUUUUUUAUCUAUUGAUCUGUGAAGCACUGACGUGGCUGCCACAUUUGUGCCACGUGGCAAACAAUUUUUUUUUAAUUAUUUAAAAAAAAAACCUGAAUUUUCUCAACCAAAAAAAAAAAUUAAUAAAAAAAGAAAAAAAGAAAAAAAAGAAACCCAUCCCAUUUCCUCGCAACCCCUCUCUCCUCUCUCUCUACGCACAGAGCUAUCAACCAACAACAAUGGGAAUCUCAGUCCCCAGCUUUUUCAAAGAGCGAAAGUUCUCUUUCAUUUUCACACUUUUACUCCCACUUGCCUGCAUCACCAUCCUCCUCUUCACCAAGACCACCACCAACGCCCCUUACCCUCUCUUCUUCUACUCCGAUCUCCAGACCUCCCCCUCCUCCUCCCAACCCAUCUCUCCUCCCGCGCCCUCCAACCCCGCCAGAGAGCCACCCCAAGGGGACGAACUCAUUUGGGAGGAACCCAUUUUCCCUGUUUUUGGGAUUCCCAAUUGGAACCUCUAUAAGGGUCUGGUGGCCGUCGAUUACAUUCCGUGCUUGGACAAUUCCGAGGCGAUCAAGGCGUUGAAGUCACGCCAGCAUAUGGAGCACCGCGAGCGGCAUUGCCCCCAAGCGCCCCCGCGGUGCCGGUUCCGUGGCCUCAGAGCAGGGACAUGGUGAGAUUUGUACUUGUAAGAUUUGUUUCUGGUUUUUCUCAAAUGGGUUUUGUUGAUUUGAUUAAAAAAGGUGGGUGAUUUGGUUUGUUCUUGGAUUUUCUCAAAAGGGUUUGUUGAUUUGAAUGAAGAAGAUGGGUGAUUCCAUUCGUUGUUGGAUUUGAUACUUGAAGCAGUUGGCUUUGAAUUUAAUUUUCUGAGAAAAAAAAUCAUGAUUUUCCUUUCUGGGAAAGUGUUUGUGGAAGUGUGAAGUGGUUGUUGGCUUAUUCUGUUGACUUUCACUCAAUAAUGUAUUGGUGAUGUUCUCUGUUUCUAGAUAUGGUAUGACAAUGUUCCUCACCCGAAGCUCGUCGAGUACAAGAAGGACCAAAACUGGAUGAAGAAGUCCGAUGACUAUCUUCAUCUUCAUCUUCUCCCCCCCCCCCGGCAACCCAGAAAAAAAAAAUACACCCCUUCAGUUUGUCUUCCCCCCUCCUCCUCCCCUCUCUUCUCCCCCAUCUUCAUCUUCUUCCCCCGACCCCUACCUGCAACCUAGAAAAAAAAAAACCCAGAUCACGUCCGCCAUCGUCGGGUUUGUGAGGUGAAAAUGAGAGGAAUGAGUGUGGAUUUAAGUAGUGGGGUGUGUAGAGGAGGGAAGAUGAUGGGUGCGAAGGUGGGUGCGGGUGCGCUCGGGGAAGGUGGGGGUGGGGUGGGCUGGGUUGCAGGGGGAAGAAGAUGAAUAUGAGGGAGAAGAGAGGAGGAGGAGGGGGUGAGGAAGAGGAAUGAGGUUUCUGUGAGGUGGGGGGUGGGGGAAAAAUGAUCUGGGUUUGUUUUUGGUGGUUGGGGGGUGUUGCGGGGAUAUGGGAUGGGUUUCAUUUUUUUUUGUUUGAGAAAAUUCAGAUUUAAAAAAAUAAAAAAUUUUGUCACAUAGCACAUAUUUGGCAGUCACGUGGCAGUCACGUCAGCACUUAACGGAUCAAUGAAUGUAAAAUGUAACAGAUGUAUUAUUUUGAAAUAACGUAGGAUGUGAGGUAUGAAAGUGAAAUGUUUUAAAGAUAUUGUAUGAGAUUGUAAUAGACCUCAAACUUGAGGGGUUACUAUGUAAUUUACUAAAAAAAAAAUAGAUAAAAAGCAUCUCUUAAUUAAUAACUAUAGUUGGCAUGGGUGGGAUCUGGAAGAUAAUCUUAGGUCCCAUGGUGAUUUUGACAGCAUCCGUAACCUCUUCGACACCAUUGAGCAUGAAGGCUCGGGCCUCCACCACGAAUUUAAUGUCUUUGCCUGCAUAGCUUCUGCUCCAACAUAGCCUACCACCAAUUUGAAACACAAACCAAACGCACACAAAACAGAAGAAAGAGUGCUUUUCAAUGAUAUUCUAUUUCAUCUCAAAACAAAGGUAUAUAUACAACCCUAUACAACCACAUACAAUCCUAUCAGAAUAAAGGAAAGAAUAAUUACAUCCUAAACUAGGAAACCAAAUAUGGUAGGAAUCCCACAAUUAUAGGAAACCUAAUACAAGUCAACAUUCCCCUUCAAGUUGGUGCAUAGAUGUUGCACAUGCCCAACUUGUCUAGAAACUUGGAGAACUUGUAACUAGAAACCACCUUAGUGAGAAUAACUGCUACUUGGUCGUUCUUUCCUAUGGGAGGAACCUCAAUUACUUUGCUAUCUAGCUUCUCUUUAAUAAAGAACCUGUUAACCUCUACAUGCUUGGUCCUAUCAUGUUGCACUGGAUUAUGAGCAAUAUCACGAGCAGCUUUAUUAUCACAAAAUAACUUCAUCGGCUAACCAUGUUUGACCCCCACAUCUUGUAACAGAAAAUUGAGCCACAAGAGUUCACAAAUAUCGAGUGCCAUACCUCUAAAUUCGGCUUCUGCGCUUGAUCUUGAUACAACAUUCUGCUUCUUGCUUCUCCACGUUACUAGAUUUCCCCCAACAAAGGUAAAGUACCCAGAUGUUGAGCGCCUAUCAUCCGUUGAUCCUGCCCAGUCAGUAUCCGUAUAGCACUCAAUUCUGAAAUGCCCAUUUUUUUGAAAUAAAAUUCCUUUACCAGGGCUUCCUUUCAAGUAACUCAAUAUUCUCAUAACUGCACUUAUAUGUUGUUCUCUUGGAUUGUGCAUAUAUUGACUAAUUUCACUUAAGGCAUGAGCAAGAUCCGGCCUAGUGUGAGCCAAGUACAUCAAUCUUCCUACUAACCCUUGAUACCUCCCUUUAUCAACCAGUACUUGGUUCUGAUCGAUACCCAACUUCAUUCCUUCAGCCAACGAAGUAGACAUUGGUUUGCACGUCGUCAUACCGGUUUCUUUCAACAGGUCAAGAAAAUACUUCCUUUGUGAUAGAAAUAUCUCGGACUUUCCUCUCGACACUUCAAUCCCAAGGAAAUAUUUCAAAGAACCAAGAUCCUUCAUUUCAAAUUCUGUGGACAAAUAUUUUUUCAAGGCUGCUUGCUCAACCGAAUCAUCACCAGUAAUCACCAUAUCAUCCACAUAUACGAUGAGAGCUGUAACCUUUCCAUUCCGACGUUUCAGGAAUAACGUGUGAUCCCAAUUACUUUGCCUAUACCUGAAUGCUUUCAUGGACUUGGUAAAUCUACCAAACCAGGCUUUUAAAGACUGCUUCAACCCAUACAAUGAUUUCUUGAGCCUACAUACCUUUUGUUUCCGUAUGUCCGGAUCACUCCACCCUGGUGGAAGGUCCAUGUAAAUCUCCUUAGUUAGAUCUCCAUGGAGGAAUGCAUUUUUUACAUCAAACUGUUGCAAAGGCCAAUCUAGAUUCGCUGCUAAUGACAGUAGAACACGAACUGUAUUGAUCUUUGCCAUUGGUGCGAAUGUAUCAGUGUAGUCGAUGCUAUAUUUCUGUGUAUACCCCUUUGCCACCAAUCUUGCCUUAAAGCGAUUUACCGUUCCGUCCGCUUUGUAUUUCACUGUAUAAACCCAUUUGCAUCCCACAGGUUUCUUUCCGGUUGGUAAGUCAGUUAUUUCCCAGGUAGCAUUUUUCUUCAACGAUCUCAAUUCCUCAUUCAUUGCAUCUUUCCAGCGGGAAUCUGCUAAGGCCUCUUGCACACUGUUAGGAAUAGAUACAAUAGAUAAUUGAUAUACAAAUGACUUAUUUGAUUCUGACAGGUGACGGGUAGACACAUAAUUGUUUAAUGGGUAUCUCACUCUUGAAUCAGAAUUUGGCUCACUCACGGAAUACUUGUGUUUACACUUAGGAUCUGCCUCAUAAGUAGGUUUAGGAAUACCUCGAUUAAUACACUCUGGAAGGUGACUGAGUGGAGGUGCAUCCGGUGUAGGAGACGAUUGGUUAUGAGAAUUAUCAGAAGGCGAGUUCAAACUUGGACCUGAUAUAACACCGGGAGGAAAAUCCCGUGACACUUGCUGCUCGGUUCCAUUCCAACUAGUGGGCCGCAGUUCAUCAUCAAGCCCAAACCCCAUGGGACCCGUGGACUGAUCAUCCACCUGCAACGUUUACUGCCCUUUGUCAGUGAGCUACUCAGUGGGCUGAUGACCAAAGCAUAGGCGUUGUUGCCUGUCUUUAAAUGCCAUGGGCUGCUGCCCUUCUCCAGGUGCCGUGUAUGGUUGCUCUUCAUGCAGCUCAUCAAAGCUCAAAACUUUACUAUUAUCUCAAGUCAGAACUUCACUAUUUCGGUACUCCCCCUGAAGUGAGGACGCGGGGGAUCCAAAAAACAUUUCAUUCUCAUGGAAACUCACAUCCUGAGUAAUAAACAUUUUUUAACUUGAAGGAUGAUAACAAUGAUAUCCUUUCUGGGUAAUAGCAUAACCCAAAAAAACACAACGAAUGGCUCGAGGCUCAAGUUUAUUAUGCCGUUGAGGGGGAUGGAGGUGAACAAAAGCUACACACCCCAAGACCCGUGGGAGAAGAUUGGGAGUCGGUGGACUGCUAGUCUGAGAUGUGAGAGCCUGAAAUGGUGUAUGGAAGUUGAGAGUACGAGAAGGAAGACGAUUAAUAAGAUAGGCGGCAGACGUAAAUGCCUCUCCCCAAUAAUGUAGAGGCAGAUGUGCAUCAAUGAGUGAAGCAUGGACCAUUUCUAACAGGUGUCUAUUUUUGCGUUCGGCAACCCCAUUCUGUUGAGGAGUAUACGGGCACGUGGUCUAUUGAACAAUACCAUGCAGUUCUAGGAAGGAACGAAGUUCCAUAUUAACAUAUUCACCACCAUUGUCACUUCGAAGAACCUGGAAAUACUGUUGUAUUGCACCGCAACCAUUUUAUGGAAUCGUUGAAAGGUCGAACUAACUUCGCUUUUCGACUUUAACAAAAUAACCCAAGCCAUUCUAGUACAAUCGUCAAUAAAAGUAACAAACCAAUGAGCACCACCAUGAGUAGCUAUUUUUGACGGUCCCCAAACAUCAGAAUGCACAAUCAUAAAAGGAACGGUACUUUUAUUGAAACUGGGAGGAAAAGAAGUUCGAUGACUUUUAGCUAUUUCACAAACAUCACACUUAAACUGGGAAACAUCAGUCUUGACAAACAAACUAGGAAAUAACUUAUGCAGAUAACUAAAGGAAGCAUGCCCAAGGCGCCUAUGCCACAUCCAAAUGUCCGACACUUUAUUAAUAUCCCCUUGAGAAUCAUCAACGAAGAGAGCUUGAGUCAGCAAGCUAGAACUACUGGUGGUCAACUCCAAGUAAUAAAGUUUUCCUCUUCUAAUACCAUAACCAAUCGUCUUCCGCGUCCGGAUGUCCUUAAAAACACAAAAAUGAGGCCAAAAAAUAACCAAACAACGUAAGGCAAGGGUUAUUUGAGCAACGGACAACAAAUUAUAAUUUAUAGAGGGAACCACAAGAACAGUGUCAAGUUUCAUGGUAUCAGAAAGGGAAACAGUGCCUUCCCCAAUAACAGGGACGGCAUUACCAUUAGCAACAUUGACCUCGGUUUGGGUGGAUGUUUUUAGUGAUGGAACCUGUCUAGAAUCACAAGUCAUAUGUUCAGUAGCUCCGGAAUCAAUUAUCCAUGUAUUAUUCAUAACAGAAGUAGAACUACUGAGUGCCUUACCAUCACUACCUGCCGCAGCAAUCAUGACAAAUGCUUUGUCCGCUAUCUGGUAUGAGUCGUUCUUGGUUUCUGCAACGGAGGCUCGGGAUUUGUUCCAUUGAGGAUCACGGGUCUUAUCCCAAUUCUCGGGAUAUCCAAUCAGCUCAAAACAGCGACUCUUGGAGUGUCAUGUCAUGCCACAAUGUGGGCACUUACCUUGGGGACGAUCCUGGCUUGUCUGACUAGGCCGAGUUUGUCCUGGCUGAUUUUGUGGCCCUUCGCGGUUAGACCCAAAAGAUGACCCACGGGCCUUUGUUGCUAGGGCAGCGAGUUCACUCUUGUCAACCUUCGUCUUUAUUGCUUCAUUUCGAUCAGCUUCUCGACGAACAUAUGCAUAAAAAUCCUGAAGGCCAAGUGGGGGAUCCUUCCGUAGCACUUCUCCACACACCUGAUCAAACCCAUCAUUGAGACCACCAAGAAACACAUAAACUCGUUGUCUCUCAGUGGAUUUCUGGAACACUUUGAUGUCGUUUUCACACUCCAUGGAUACUUUAUUAAAGUGAUCCAAUUGUUGGAAAAUCUCAGUUAGCUCCCCAAAAUAGGUAGCCAAAGGUUGGCCAUUCUGACGAAGACGUGAUGCCUUUUGAUUCAACGAAUAAAUUCUAGCCUCAUCAUUCUCAUCAAGGUAUGCAGCCUUAAUGGAGUCCCAAAUUUCCUUUGAUGUAGACAACCGAAUGUACCGUUUCAUAAUCUCAGGCUUCAUGGAAGACAAAAGCUAACUCUUAAUGUUUUGAUCUUCAGAGAACCAAUCAUCAUAUUUAGGAUCGUCUUCGUUAGGUGCCUUGAUAGACCCACGAAGAUAUCACAUCUUCUUCCUUCCAGCAAUAUGGAUUUGAAUGAGGAGCCUAUAAAUCAUAGUUCUUUUCAUCCAAAACCAUACCAAUAUUAAAACUGGAAUUUUCUGACUGCACCAUAAUUGGAGCAGCCGCUGAAACAAUCUUAGAACCGGUCCCCUUUUCUUCAGCCAUCUCUCUUGUUGUCGGUAUAGCCUAAAACCUGCAGAGUUGAUGGGAUUUUGGAACUUGGGAAUUGACUAACAAAACUGGGUAGAAACAAGGGGCAGCAGCUUGAUGAGACCCUUUAGACAAAACAAGGAGCAACAGCGCAUCGUUGAUGGGACCCUUCAGACAAAACAGAGGGAAGCAGCAACUUCACAGUUGUUUGCUGCAAUCAAUCAGGAACACGGGCAGCAACAACUCCUCAAAGUUGCUCGCUGCAAUUGAUCAGAGACACGGCAGGAAAAAAAAACAGUUAGGGUUCAGUGUUUUCCUUUUCUAACCCGGCUCUGGUGCCAAGAAGAAAGAAUGCUGUUCAAUGAUAUUCUAUUUCAUCUCAAAACAAAGGUAUAUAUACAACCCUAUACACCUUUGUUUCAAGACGACAUCGUUGAUAGUCGGGGCUCAUCUGUCUGGGUUGUUUUGUUUUGUUAUUCUAAAAGCAUAACACUUCAGAUGCUUUAAUUAUAAGUUAAUCAUUGUAACUUUAAUUCACUGUUUUAUUUGUUUGCUUAAUAAGCGAGAAGACAAUGGAAAGUAAACAAGGAAAAUUGGAAUUUAUAAGAAAUUGGAUUUUUAUUAAUCGGGUGACAUUUAAUCCCACAACAACUCGCGGACACCAUUUACUAGUGUUGACUCAGCCUGAACUUCACUCUCUUCCUUCUAAUAACAAUUGAUUUCAGUUUUUAGGUUCAUGUUGUGACAACCCUUCCUCCACCACUUUAUAAUCCUCAUUUCUUCCAUGUAUUUCCCUUAUGUAUCUAACAAAAAAUGGAAACUAAAAAUGGAAAGGUUAACAAAUGGGCUCCUACUUGUUCAGACGCUAUCUAGUGCACUAUAAAUUUGAUGACUUGCAAUAAGAAACCAAGUAAGUUCCUCCUGUCUUUAUGUAAGUCCCAAAGAAUCCGACUGCUACCCAUUUGUUUUAAGCAACAAAACUAUUAACUUCCAAAACCACGACAGUUUUCUUUACUUUUCCAAAUCCUAGCUAUUUUUUUCUCUUUCGUUUCUAAUUAAUAAAUUUCGUUGUUGAUGUUCUAUUAGAGCAGUUCCAUUGUGGUGUAUUACCUAGUGGACUGGGGAUGGAACAGAGCCAAAUAGGCCAGGGGAUAAGGUCUAGUGUAUAUCAGCCUGAGGGACAGGCCCGGUAGGGAUUGCCAGCCCGAGAGCCUGAAGGCCAGGUGACGUGGGUUGACGUCAGCCAUAAUAUAAAAUUAAUAAAAAAACAUAUUAUUAAAAAAUAAAAAAAUUUAAUAAAUUAAUUAAAAAAUUAAAAAAUGUAAAACUUUGGCUUCGAACUCAACGGCUCUCGCUGGAGCUCGACAUCGAGACUGAUGAUACACCCACAGAUAAAUGGAAGAGAUCCAGUCCCUCCUCCGCCUCAGUUGUCGCCGCACCCCACAUCGCCUUCGCCUUCACUCACUCGCAAUCCCUCUCCUUCCACUCGCGUGCCUAGAUCGCACGAUUUGGGAUUUGUUUUUGAGAGAGAGAGAGAGAGAGAGAGAGAGAGAGAGAUUUUAACUAAGGAAAAACUGUGAACUUUUGCACGGAUCGGCUAUUGAUGUUGUCAGAAUUUAAGGCCUUGCCUACAGAGCUCAAAGUGAGAGAGAGCUGCUGAGCUUGAAAAAGAAAGAACAAAAAACACACAACUUUUGGAAUGGUGCGUUGGCACCAUGGGAAAAGAAGAAGAAAAAAAAAAAAGGUUUUGGAAUGGUGCAUCGGCAUCAUGUGAAAAAAACAAAGGUUUUGGAAGUGUGCUGCAACAUGAGAAAAGAAAAAAAAUUUAAUAGAAAGUGGUACAACGAGACCGAUUAAAAAUCUUAUCCAAAAUUACAAAUAAAAUUAUUUUGUAUUAUUUAAAAAAAAUACUAAUAUUUUAUUGCCUAUUGCCAUGACUAUUCAAUGUAGGGGUGGAGAUGCAAAAGGCAGUUACUGUUCACUGGGUGGAUUAAAUAGUGAAUAGCCCGGGGGGACUUAGCAAUGGUGAAACUGCUCUUAAAGAGGCACUAAUGUCGUCGUUAAAAAAAAAAAAAAAAAGAGGCACUAAUGUCUAACAUGAUCAAGUAUGAUUUUAAAGCAUGUAUAUAUCCUUUGUAGUUUAGAAUUGGCAAUAUCCAAAAUUCUACCAUUUAUACAUUAAUGUGUGGCGGCGGUGUUGUUGAGGGUUGGCGGUAGGUGCUGCUGAAGGCUAGUGUAGCGACUGUCGCUUGUCGCACGGGGAGAGUGUUCGUGAAAUCGGGAAAAAAAGUAGAGGGAUGAUGACAGAAGGAAGAGGUAUGAGGGAGUUAGUUUGGGUUUUUUUUUUUUUUUAAAAGGCCAAAAAAAAGGAAAAAAAUGCCAGUGAACCCAGUCGCUAAAAAGAACGUUGCCCGACUCAGGCGGAGAUGGUAUAGAGUUGGAAGGGACGGAAAUCCCAUUAAAGAGAUGGGAGCUUCCAUGAUUAGAAGAGUCCAAAGGCAACAUAAAGCCCACAUGAACUCAUUGAAAGUCCCACCACCUUAGAAACCUCUAAAAAUGGAGAGGUAAACAAGGUACCUAAUGAAGGAAAGAAUCAAAUCUUCUGGAGAACCAAGAAGGAGGUAGAGAAAGGCAAUAGCAAGACUGAAGGGGAAGGAGACCAUGCGCCAUCGAGCCUUCACCCGGAAAAUAUAGGAUCCUAAGAAGAGCUCAAGAAGAUAUGAUAAUGAUACCAACACCUAAAUGGAGCCCAGAACCAAGCUGUUUCGGAGCAAUCUCGCCAGAAAGAGGGAUACCCUCACCAUUGUUGGUUGAUACACUUUGUGAGAGCCCAGUGCAGGUGCAGAACUUCAGCAUAACUCGAGAGGAGGCGGUGCCUGAAUUAAUAUUGCCAAAAGAAGCACAAGCCUGGUUAGAUGGGUUUAUGAACCACAUAGGGGCAAGGAGGAAGAUGUACCUGGACCCAGUGACUUCCACGUAAACAUGACAUAUGUUUUAUUAGGCAUGUUUCACGUCGAGCAUGAUCAACCUCCCAUCAUGGAAGGUGAUUACCUGGCAACAUAACCCAUGAUGGUGCAUGUUAGUAUUGAGGAUACGGGACAAGGAAAACCUAACCAAACUGGAUUGCCUGAACCAUCAAUAAGGAAGCCUGAGAGGAUAUACUCAGACAAAAUGGUUUUUGUCCUAUCGAGUUCAAGCUUGGCCAACCAUCUCAAGCCCAUAUAUGUAACUGCACACCUGGAGGGGGUACUCUUCAAAAGGGUCUUGAUUGACGGUGGGGCCGCAGUUAAUGUGCUGCCAUACAAGCAGAUGAAGAAGAUGUGUAGGAGUGAAGGGGAUCUUAUUCCCACCGAUCUUACAGUUUCUAAUUUCUCCGGAGCUAUCACCAAGGUGCAUGGGAUACUGCCGUUAGAGGUGGAUUUAGGAUCAAAACAAAUUAUGUUGGCCUUUUUUUAUUGUGGACAACACUUCCACUUAUGGAGCUUUACUAGGCAGAGAUUGGAUUCAUCAGAGUCUCUCUGUGCCAUCUACUUUACACCAACAAGUGGUCGUUUACCAUGAGGAAGAGGAAGCUGAAUCAUGGUCAUUUCUCCCUACAUCCAACGUUGCAAAAGCCAACUUCUAUAAUCCCAAUAUUGGGAUUCUUCAAUGUUCAGGAGCUGAUAAGAACGGAUGCCUGACUAAGGUGACAGCCCAAAAGCUUUUGGAAUAAGGGCUAGCUCUUAAAAGGGAAAAAUGGGAUCGACCCUAUAUCAUCCCGACUCCCCAAUACCUUUAAAUGUCAGAGCAGAAAAGGAAAGACCAAGUGAUUGCAGUCAGGUUCUUAAUAAAAAGACUGUUGGUAUAUGAGAGAGAGAAAAAACAGGAAAGGGAAAGCUCAGCCAAAGAAGAAAAGGGCUAGAGCAGAGAAGGCUCAAGUAGCCAGAUGACUAAAGAGGAUUGUUUUGGGAAAGAGCUAGAAGCGGCCAUCCAAAUGGCUGAGUGUAUAUAUGACUUGGAUGGGACAAAAGAUUUACCCGAGAGUUCAGAGCUGGUUGAGUUUUUGUAUGCAGAGCCUGAUAAACCAGCCCCAGAGGUGCAAGAUCCCUUGGAGAUCAUUGAUUUAGGGAGGGAGGAAGAUCCAAGACCUAUAUAGAUCAGUGGUUUAUUGAAAAUCAAAGAUCGGGCAGGGAUUAUUAACCUUCUGCAUGAAUUCAAAGAUUGUUUUACUUGGCAUUACACUGAGAUGCCAAGUUUAGACCCAACCUUAGUAGAACACAUGAUGCAUAUUAAGGAGGGGUUUAAACCUGUCAAGCAAGCACCACGGAGAAUGUCAAAAGAAAUCAAGGAUAAGGUUAAAGAAGAAAUUGAAAGACUGGUAAAGGCAGAAUUUAUUAGACCUGCCAAAUAUGUUAAGUGGUUGGCCAACAUUGUUCCUGUAUUAAAAGCCAUAACUAAAGCAGUUAGGUGUUGUGUUGACUAUAGAAACAUUAAUGGAGCCACGCAUAAAGAUGAAUAUCUUAUGCCAAUGGCCGACUUAUCUAUAGAUGCAGUAGCCAAACACAAAAGUUCUGUCUUUCAUGGACGAAAAUGCAAGAUAUAAUCAGAUAAAAAUGGCUAAAGAAGAUAUAUACAUAAAACGGCUUUUAGAUGUUUGGGUCAUAUCGGAGCAUAUGAAUAUGUGGUGAUCCCAUUCGGGCUCAAAAAUGCUGGUGCCACUUAUCAAAGAGCAAUGAAUGCCAUUUUUCACGACCUAAUCGGCCAUAACAUGGAAGUAUAUAUUGACGAUAUUGUGGUGAAAUCCAAAACUGAUGAACAACAUUUGGUAGAUCCCAAACAAGCCUUAAAAAGAGUGAGGAUCCACAAGUUAAAGAUGAAUCCAAAGAAGUGCGCUUUUGGAGUAAGGUCGGGCAACUUUUUGGGAUUCCUCGUUCAUCAGAGAGGAGUGGAGGUUGAUAAAAACAAAGCUCAGGGCAAUAGUGGAAUCACCUUCACCCACCAAUAAGGUACAACUACAAAGGCUACUAUGAAAAGUCAACUUCCUGUGGAGAUUUAUUGCUAAUUUAGCGGGCAAGAUUCAGCUGCUAACUCAUUUGUUGAGACUAAAGGAUAAGGAAGAUUUUGAAUGGGGCCUGCAACAUCAAGAAGCUUUCAACAACAUAAAAGCUUACUUAGCCUCUCCACCAAUGCUCAUGCCACCUCAGAGGGGAAAGCCAUUAAAACUUUACAUCUUUGCCUUGAAGAGAUCAAUUUGAAGCUUGCUGGCCCAAAACAACGAAGGCGGAAAAGAACAAGCUGUAUACUACCUCAGUAGAAUCCUUACUGAGGUGGAGACAAGAUAUACCAGUGGAGAAACUGUGUUUGGCUUUAUACUUUACUGCUUGCAAGUUAAGGCAUUACAUGUUACCUUGCCACAUCCACAUCAUCGCCAAGACCGACGUGAUCAAAUACAUGUUGGCGAAACCUAUGUUGACAGGAAGAAUUCGGAAGUGGAUUAUGGCAUUGUUCGAAUUCAGUUUUCAAUAUGUACACCAGAGGGCAGUCAAAAGGCAGGCAAUUGCAGACUUUUUAGCCGAGCAUCAAGAGUCUCAGGGAGAAAUAAUCAAUAUCUCAAGAACCUUGGAAGUGGCGAACAUCUUGAUCCCACUAAGCAAAGCCAUCUCGGGCAGAGAGAAAUGGAUUCAACAAGAGGUAGAAAGGAUAUCCAGCCUUUGGGUUACCCCCUGGAAGUUGUAUUUUGAUGGAUCUUGUACCCAAAAUGUUGCUGGAGCUGGGAUCGUUAUUAUUGAUCCUAGAGGUACUCACCAUUGUUAUUCAUUCUUCCUGGAUUAUCAAGAAACUACUAACAAUCGGGCAGAGUAUGAAGCCUUGAUAAUUGGCCUAGAAAUCUUGAUAGAAUUAGGGGCAACUGAAGUUGAAGUGUUUAGUGACUCAAAAUUGAUAAUUAAUCAAUUAAAUAGGGAGUAUAGAUGCAGACAGAUCACCAUGACCAAUUAUUACUUGGCAACCACCCAAUUAUUGAGCUAUUGGGGCACAGAAAUAUCAGCUAGCUAUAUACCUAGAUAAGCAAAUACGAUUGCCAAUGAGAUGACACAAUUAGCCUAAGGAGUACAGAUCCAAGAAAGGAAGUUUGAGAGAGACAUAGAAGUCCAGAGAAGAGAUCUCCCUUCCAUUUUAGAUAGGAGAUUAGCCUAGAUGUAAUGAUUGAAGAAGUGGAAGCCGAAGACUGAAGGACACAUGUCUUUCUGUAUUUAAAAGAUCUUUCAUUCCCCAAAAAUCCGAAAAUCACAUAAAAAUUUGCAAAAUUUGUUUUAAAAAAAACCCAAAAAGAGUUGUUUUUGUGUGUUUGUUUGUGUCUUAGGGUACCUUCCAAUACAAUGAUGAGGAUUCGGUUUGUAAUUACAUGGCUGUUAAAGAGAGUGACUAACAUGGAUGAAAGUUUGAUUUACUCUUUGUUAUGCUUAGUUGUGGUUAUAACUUAUGAAUUCACAUGCAAUCAUAAAAGAAAAAAUCAGUUUUUGUAACAUGCUUGAAGGAAGGAACUCAAACUAACGCUACAACCUUGUGAGACUUGAGCCUAAAUGUUUAUUUGGAGAGUUAAAAUCUGUACAUUCUUUGUUUUCUAAAAGUCGUUGCAUGAUCUCAUUAUUCUUUGCUUGGUUGCUACUUAGAAGGCGUUUCAUCAUUUAGUUCCAAAUGCUAGAACUCAUGCCCAUUUCAUUCAAAGCAUGUUAUUGAUGUGCAUAACACACAUUUAAGAUGAAGUUGUGUAGUGACCACCACCUUAGCCAAAAAGCCGUGUGCCCUAUGUCAUUGUGAUUUGUAGGUUUUUAACCCCAUUGAGCCUUGUUAGCCUUCGUUAUUUGUUAACCCAUGUUUUCCGCACCUAGCCUAGAUUAGGACCAUCCAUACCUUGUUCUUAAAGCAUAGUAAAGCAUGAUUCAAAUUGAAUUCCUUUUGAUUUAUGUUGGCAGAAAACAAGUGUGGGGGAAGUAUUUCUUUUGUGAUUUUGUGUGCCAUAGGCACGUGUGGAAAGAAAAGAAAAAAAAAAGAAAAAAAAAUUUCGUGGAAAAAGAAAAAAUGAAGAAAAAAUAUGAGAAGUAUGAAAAAAAGAGUUGAACAGUUGAGACAAAGACUUCCAAAGUAUUGUUUGUUGAAGUAAGGGUCCAAAACAAUGAAUUUGACCCUAAGGAGUUGUUUAAGUCUCCCCCUUGUGUGUUAAAGUUAAUGUCUGCAAUCUAAGUGAAUUCUAAGUCUCAAUUUCAUUGCUUUGCUUACUAUCGCUUGAAGAACGGUUGUUUUCCUUAUCCUUUCCUUGUUAACCAAUACCCCGAGCCCCAUUACAACCCUUAACUUCUAUCUUGAGUGUUAUGUGUUUCAAUUUGUGGAGUUUGAAUUUGGUAUGAGCAUAUGGUGUCACUGGUUCUUGCAUCUAAGUAGUAACAUUCCAUUCAUGAGAUCAUAUCUAAACAUGCUUCUUAACUCUAGAAAUUGCGUUCUUUGUGAUACAUAUAUGUGAGCAUUCGUUUUCAUAUCUACAUCAAUCUUCUCACAUAUGACUAGUGUAGGGUGUGGAGUUAGAAAAUCUGAGUGAAAAUAGAGUGUAUAUCUUGUAAGGAAUUGAGGGAAUUCUCUAAGGCAUGUUACUACAUUCAAAGCAUUGUUUUAAUUGAUUACUUGUGAACUAGUGAGUAGUGGCUUUAAUUAAGUAUGUGCUUGUGUAAAGAUGACUCAAAUCUGUGGGGAUAACAAUCUUUAACAUGUCAUGUGCAUUGGAAAUCCCUGAGGCAAACGUUGGAAGGUUUAGGUUUUGUUUUGGUUUGUUUGUUUCGUUUUGUUUUCUUUCUUUUGUUUGUUUUGCUCGAGGACUAGCAAAAGCUAAGUGUGGGGGAAUUUGAUAGGAGCAUAUUUAUGCGCCUUAGUUAGCUAGUUCUUAUGCAUUUUCGUUAUGUUUUCUUCGUUAAAGUAGUCUUUUAAGCUACUUUCAUGUGUUUUCAGGUUUAAAGGACAUAUUACAUGAAAUGAUGCAAUUUGGAGCUUUUGGAGCAAAAAGUGAGCUUGGAUUGAAAAGGACAUGCUUGGAACACAAGGUUGGGAUGAAAUUGACGAGUUGAAGAUUUGAGGUUUCCUACUUGAAGUAGGAAAGCUAAGCCUAAAAGUUUCCAUUUUGGGUUGAUCUUUCCUAAAUUUGAAUGGCCUUGCGUUUGAGCAACAUUAGAAGGUUCCGAAGCGUUGGAAGACACAAAGAAAGGUGUUAGAAUAUUUUCUCAUCCUUGCCGUGGGUUUGGGCUUAAUUUCUCUUGGUUUUGGGCUUUUUAGAAGCCCUAUCCACAUUCCCACUAACCAGCCGCACCUUUCCCCUUCUAGAACACAUAUUUCCUUGCCUUGCAAGGCUUUCUAGAAGCCCUAACCCUAGCCCACUUAAUUGCCGCACCCUAGGCCCUUUUCUCACCAAAUUUCUGAUUGUUAACCUAUUUUUCUGGUGGAUUUUGGUUUCUAGAAACCCUAAUCUGAUUUGCUAGGGUUUUUAAGUGCCUAUAUAUAUAUUUCUACACCUAGCCGCACACAUAACCUCUCCACAAUUCAGAAAUUCAUCCAACCCUAUAUUCCCAUUCCUUGCCGCAGCCACCAUCAUCCUUAUACCCUUAGCCGCCACUCCUCCAUCCAUUCCAGCCAUUUCCCACACCUUGCCGCAACCACUCUACACCUCCAUACACCAUUCUACACCUCCAUACACUACCCAUACCCCUUGCCGCACCACCAUAGCAUCCUAACUCUCUUCCUAAACCAAAAUCACAUCCAAAAAUCCCCUAAACCUUCUCUGCCGCAGCAAGGAGAAUAAGAAAAGAGGAGCUUGACGUGCAGAAAUUCAAAGUGGAAUUGUUGGGCGUUUUAGGUGUAAUCUUUCUUAUGUCUUCGAUGUUUCAAUUCAAUAAACUUUGUGUUGUGAGUAUGAGGAACUAACCCCCUUAGUUGGGGGGUAAUUCGAAACCAUGUACAUGCUUGCAAUAUGAUUUGAUUACAUUCAGUUGUUAUUUCAUAAGUUGUGGAUUCAAUUCGUUCAUCUAUUUGAUUGAUAACUUAUUUGUGUAUGUUGAUUGAGAGUGCACGCUUAGUUUUCAUGCAUGAAUAUGAUGCUAGAUUAUGAGGGAGUUUCACCUAAUAGUUACAAUCUUAUAAUCGCAAGUAGUGAAGGUCGCUUGAAAACGAUCGCGUUGAAUGAAUUCUUAGCAUAAGUUUCAUGCAAUUCAUAGUAACAAAUGCUUCGUCAAUGCUUAUGUUUUUCAUAGAACGUAAUGAUUCUUGCUUGUAUCUCUAUUAUGCAAUUCAUGUAGGGAACUUGUAGGGAAUGUUUUGGGUUGUCGUAUGCAAUCAUCCAACUUAAUAACUUGUGGAAAAACUGAGGGUUAAUUAGUGCAAUUCACGGUUAAUUUGGGGCGUUGAGUAUUUAUAAUUUAUUGGAAGAACAACUGAAAAUCGUUUCGUUUGCAAGUGUAACAUGUGUGGAGAAGAACCUCCUAACUAGCAUUUUAUCCAUCAUUUCCAUCCAAAAACGUUUUACAAUCUGUUUAGUUUUAAGUUUAUGUUUUGUUUUCAAUUUUCGUCCAAAACAAAUCCCCCUUUAUUUUGAAGUCUUAGAUUAGUUAGAAAGUGUUUUGAUUUGUGUUUCUAAGUGUUUUGAUUCAAGUUUUCACUCAAAUUCGUCCAAGUUCUUGUUAGGUUCUCAAAACUGCCCAGAAAGUGGUUUUUAGGCAGUUUUGAGUCAUUAGGUUGCUGUUUUGAGUUUUAGGUUUGUUUAAGUGGUUUAACCUUUAGUUUUGCAUUCUUUGAGUCUAGUUCAGUGUUUUAAACUUUGUUUUUGAGUUUUUAAGUCAGUUUCCAAGUGUUUAGCAAUCCCUCAUAAUCCCCGGUCUAGAACGAUCCCUACUUACAUCUCUACUACAAUUUGACAAAAGAGGGUUUAAUUUGUGUGCUUAUCUAUUUCGCAUCAUGUAUAUGUACAUAUUUGUAACUUAUCAGAGAUAUCAAUAAACAAGCUUUGCUUCAUUUCAACGUAUUGUGUUAAAUACACCAAGGCCUUCUUCACUAAGUUCUUUGAAUUUUUCCUUUUGUUGAAGCUUGUAUGUUGAAGCUUUGUGAGUGAAGCAUGUAGGUUGAGGUAGUGCUCCCUUAAUUUACCGAGUGAGGAAAACUUCUCGUUUGGAGACUUGAAAAAUCUAAGUCACUGAGUAGUCGUGAGACUUCCGAGUAUCAAGGUGCAGUAGCAUAUGGUAGGAGUCCCCCAAGUCUCCGAUUGAGGGAGUUGACGAAUGAGGCAUUUCCUUUCUAAUUGGUAGCCCAAAACUACUUCUUCAUAUAUAUUUGUUAUGAAAGUUGUUAGGCCCAAAGAAGAUGAGGCCUAGGCAAUUUUUUUUUUUCGAUUUUUUUUUCGAAUUUUUGAAUUUCCGAAAAAAAAAAUCUAUAUAUAUAUACAUAUAUAUAUAUAUAUAUUAAAGAUUUAUAGGUGAAGCUUUUGUGUUGAAGCUUUGUAGGUGAAGCUUUGAGGUUUAAGCUUUGUUGGGAGCCAUGAAUUGAUUUUGCUUCACACUAUCUUGAUCAAGAUAGUGUGAAGCUUUUGUAGAUGAAACUUUUGUGUUGAAGCUUUGUAGGUGAAGCUUUUGUGGUGGGUGAAACUUUUAUGGGUUAAGCUUCUGUGGGUGAAGCUUUUGUGGUGGGGGAAGCUUUUGUGGGUGAAGCUUUUGUGGUGGGGCAAGCUUUUGUCGGUGAAGCUUUUGUCGGUGAAGCUUUUGUUGGUGAAGCUUUUAUGGGUGAAGUUUUUAUGGUGGGUGAAACUUUUAUAGGUGAAGCUUUUAUGGGUGAAGCUUUUAUGGGUGAAGCUUUUGUGGUGGGUGAAGCUUUUGUUGGUGAAGCUUUAAGCUUUUGUAGGUGAAGCUAUUGUGGGUGAAGCUUUUGUAGAUGAAGCUUUGGAGUUGAAGUUUUGUAGGUGAAAAUUUGGAGUUGAAGCUUUUGUUGGGUACCAUGAAUUGAUUUUGCUUCACACUAUCUUGAUCAAGAUAAUGUGAAGCUUUUAAAAAUUUGUAGUUGUCCUCCAUUGACGAAGCUUUUAUUGGUGAAGCUUUGGAGUUGAAGCUUUUGUUGGUGAAGCAUUUAUGGGUGAAGCUUUUAUUAGGUACCAUGAAUUGAUUUUGCUUCACACUAUCUUGAUCAAGAUUGUGUGAAGCUUUUGAGAAUUUGUAGUUGUCCUCCAUUGAUGAAGCUUUUGUUGGUGAAGCUUUGGAGUUGAAGCUUUUGUUGGGUACCAUGAAUUGAUUUUGCUUCACACUAUCUUGAUCAAGAUAGUGUGAAGCUUUUGAGAAUUUGUAGUUGUCCUCCAUUGAUGAAGCUUUGUUGAAUUUCCUUUUUUUUUUUUUUGGAAACUAGAAAUUUGAAAAUGUGGGAAAGACAACAUAUACAAAUUUUGCUUCCACACUGUUGAGCAAGAGAUUGUGAUGCAAACCAUACCUUGUAGUAGUCAAUGGUUUGGAUGAACCAUAUAAAUUGAAUUUGCUUUGAAUAGUAUUGAAUUUGCUUCGAAGGUUUGAGAAUUGUAGUUGCCCUCCAUUGAUGAAGCUUUUGUUGGCACCAUAAUUUUGUUUUGCUUCACACUGUCUUGAUCAAGAGUAUGUGAAGCUUUUGAGAAAUGUGGUUGAACUCCUUUGAUGAAGCUUUUGUUGGCACCAUAAAUUGGUUUUGCUUCAUACUGUCUUGAUCAAGAGUGUGUGAAGCUUUUGAGAAUUGUGGUUGCCCUCCAUUGAUGAAGCUUUUGUUGGCACCAUAAAUUGGUUUUGCUUCACACUGUCUUGAUCAAGAGUGUGUGAAGCUUUUGAGAAUUGUGGUUGCCCUCCAUUGAUGAAGCUCUUAUUGGCACUAUAAAUUGGUUUUGCUUCACAUUGUCUUGAUCAAGAGUGUGUGAAGUUUUUGAGAAUUGUGAUUGAACUCCUUUGAUGAAGCUCUUGUUGGCACCAUAAAUUGGUUUUGCUUCACACUGUCUUGAUUAAGAGUGUGUGAAGCUUUUGGGAAUUAUGGUUGCCCUCCAUUGAUGAAGCUCUUGUUGGCACUAUAAAUUAGUUUUGCUUCACACUAUCUUGAUCAAGAGUGUGUGAAGCUUUCUACGAGUUGUAGUGUUUGCAUUGUUACAGAGGGGAAAUGUCUAAAGCAGAUGCAAGAGGGCUGAAUAGCUUGAUCUUUGUAUGCCAUGCACUGAAGUUGUUGUUGGCUUGCAAUAAGACUUUGUUGGUGAUAAUAACUCUUGUUGGGCAUAAGUGCUCCCCUAGUUGAGUUAUCAAGCUUGAAAGUUUUUGAUUAUUUAUGAAUGCCACAUGUACAAGUUGUAACACUCGUCUUCUGGUAGGUGGAAUGAAUGGUGAGUUGCUUUCAUCACUUAGUUGGUGGUACGAAUGUGAGUUCCUUCAUCACCUUUCAUCACAUUUUAUCACCUGGUUGGUGGCACGAGGAUAAGUUCCACUUCACCUGGUUGGUGGCAUGAAUGGCAAGUUGCCAAAUGAUAUUAGAGUACGAGUUGUACAUUUCAUCACCUAGUUGAUGGCAUGAAGGAGAGUACAGGUUGUACAUUUCAUCACCUGGUUGGUGGUAUGAAGAUGAGUUCCUUCUUCACCUGGUUGGUGGCAUGAGUGGCAAGUUACCAAAUGAUAUUAUAGUAUGGGUUGUACAUUUCGUCACCUGGUUGGUGGCAUGAAGGAGAGUAUGGGUUGUACAUUUCAUCACCUGGUUGGUGGCAUGAUUGGCAAGUUGCCAAAUGAUAUUAGAGUACGGGUUGUACAUUUCAUCACAUGGUUGGUGGUAUGAAGGAGAGUACGGGUUGUACAUUUCAUCACAUGGUUGGUGGCAUGAAGAUGAGUUCCUUCUUUACAUUUCAUCCCUUGGUUGGUGAGAAUAAGGGUAAGGUGUCUAGGCACAUUGUAGCAAGUGUCGAAUGACACAAAGUAUGUUGAACCCUUUCGAAGCACAGUUGGCUUAUGUAUGGAUGUGUUGGAAUGUAUGAUGUUUAUGUAUGAAUGUGUUGGAAUGUAUGAUGUUUAUGUUGAUUGAUAUGAGUGAUGCUUAUGAAUGUUUUGCUAUGUAUGAAGGGAUUCAUGCUUUUGAUAUGUGAAACAUGUUGGUUGUAACCCUUAGUAUCACAUACUUUGUGUCAAAGUACGCAUGUUAAAGCUCUGAGUUGGAGUAUAAGGGUAGGUCAGCGUAAACCAAAUGUUCCAGUGCUAGGAACGCAAAAGACUCAGAAGAAGUUGUCUGAAUUCCCUUUUCUUUAAAUAUUUGCCGAAUGGCUUAUGUAACAAAAGAUCUCAAGCGGUUGAGAGUCAAAACAUUUGUAAUGUGUAUGCCUUCUUAUAAUAGCAUUUCCUUUAGUACCUAGUCCUCCAUUUUGAAAGAGUGAGGCUUGGCCCUAUAGUCAUAAUAGUCAACGGUACGUUCACCCUUAAUUGUCUUGAUACGAACUUUUAUCCCUAUUGUUGUAAUGGGCUUGCUGAGUAAAAAUCAUUCCUCUUACCACGAGACAGAUACGUUUGGUGACUUAACGUGUAGCUAAAUAUGGCAGGAGAUGAUGCAAUGAGUGUCUGAAUGGCCAAGAUUUCCUCACUUGGUAGAACUUGACUUCCACUUCCCACUUGUUGAUAAGGGUUAACCAUAUGAGGGUUCCCUUGGUAUGUCCUUGCUUUAGCGGAGGUGUGGUUGUAAGCUUGUGCCAUCACCUCAGAGUAAGCUUCCAAGUGUUGGCAUUGAUCAUGUACUUGAAGAAACAAUCAUGUAGGCAUGCCGUGAAGGCCUUGAAGGCGGUCUUGUCAUCUGUCUCAGCAUAGCGAGAAUACUCAUAGCUGAAGCGACCGACAUACUCUUGUAGUGACUUGUCCGGCUUCUAGCGAAUAGUGUACAAGUUAUCUGCAGAAUGCAAAUGAUCGGUCUGGAAGAUGUGUUGAGAGACAAACAGUUUCCUCAGUUCCUUAAAUGAGUCUAUUGUCUCAAGUGGAAGACGGCAAUACCAGUUUAGAGCUCCGCCAGAGAGGGUGGAGGGGAAGAGAAGACAUCGCUCUUUGUCGGUGUGCAUCUAAUAUGCCAUGGUGGACUCAAAGAGGUUAAGGUGUUCAAUUGAGUCCUCCCUUCUAGUAUAGAGUUGUAAACCAAGCUUUUGUUUGUCUUUACUUGAAUGGGGGUGUCGAGGAUCCUCCUUGUGUGAGGGCUAAGCCUGGGCUGGUUCCAGUUAGGUAUCUCUGCCUGACGUUCGGCAUUUAACUUGUUUACUUCCUCAAGGAGCUGUAGGACAAGGCAGUCUUGAGUGGAGUUAUGUACCACUGGAAUUUUCUUUCGUAAGUUUCCAUCACCGUACUAACUUCUAAGGUAAGUCUGUCGGAAUACCUCAGAGUCCCAUGUACCUUCAUGUUCCUUUAGAUUGGCAGCUGGCCUGGGUCGUGGGAUGGCAGCUGGCCUAGGUCGUGAGAUUGAGCAAGAGCGUGUGGUCGUUCCUUCUCUAGAUUGGCAGCUGGCCUGGGUCGUGUUAUGGGACUGAGUCUUUCAGAAACCCUUGGGUCAUUGAUCUUCGAGCAUAUAUGGAGGGGAUUCUCUCGACGUUGCUUUAGGAAGCCUCGACAGUCGCGAUAAACGGCUUUCGAUCCUUCCAACCCUUCUGCAAGGAGGUGUCUUCCUCCACUUCUCCUACUUCGGGUCGAAGCAUCAAGGUUGAGAGAAGUCUUAUGUUGAUCAAUGUUUUGAUGCUUAGCUCGCUCCUCAUCAGGGAUACCCAUGUCGAAAGGAGGUGACCCUCCGUGUUGGGGGGCACCCAGAUGAUGGUUGAUGUCCAUAGGGGCAACGAGCUCGCGUGUUUAAGUAUGCCUAGUUUUGUGGAGUGUCUCAAAGAGCUUCUCAUACUACUCCUGGAGGACCUCAUUCUUCAUUGCUAUCUUAUUGUUCUGAGCUUCUAGCUCAUUGACUUUAGCUUGAAGAGCAACUUUCUUUCCUUCAUUCUUUCGUUGCUUCGCACUAGGUGCAAGAUGGGUGUCAUUCUGUGUGCUGUGGCUUCCUUCGCUCCCCAUGUUGGAGAGGGAUGCCUUGUCAAAAGAGAGUGUACGAAUGGUGGAAACCACCUUGACAAAGCUGAAGAGAGUGGGAAUAAGUAUCGUUUCCCACAAACGGCGCCAAACAUUGACGCACAAAAUCAGUGAGGACUUUGGUACAACAGAAAGUGUUAAGUUUGUGACCUUUGCUAGAUUGCUCCGGUUACUAAUGUGGAUAAGUAUGUAAAUGGAUAAGGACAGGGAAGAAAAUACAAGAUGUACGUGGUUCACCCAGAUUGGCUACGUCCACGGAGUAGAGGAGUUCUCAUUAAUUGUGAAGGGUUUGCACAAGUACAUAGGUUCAAGCUCUCCUUUAUUGAGUACUAGUGAAUGAUUUAGUACAAAUGACAUUAGGAAAUAUUGUGAGAGAAUUAUCUCUAUGAUCUCUAUUUAUAGAAGAGAGUUUCUAGCUUCAUUCUGACAUUGACACGUGUCGUGUUGUGAUUGACUUCUGAUGUUGACAUGUGUCAUGCUAUGAUUGGCUUCUGAUGUCGACAUGUGUCGCGCUGUGAUUGGCCUCCUGGUUGGAGGGAAACUCUUCUGUGUCCUUGACGGUAUAACGUUAACCGGUACUCAGUAGUUUCGGGAUUGGUCAAGUAUGGUACAAACAAUCACAUUUUUAGAGCGUUAAUAAAAACUCCAUGUGAAAAUGUCAAAGAAUGCGGCGUUGUAUUAUUGUAAGUUCUCUGUUCCGAACAUUUCCUGAAAGUGAAUCGGGGUGAUAUAAUAAGUUGUGAAAGAAUCGGUUUAGAACGUGGUGGACGUAUCUCAACUUUUGUUCAAGAAGGAAAAAUAGGGAUAGGUAAGCUAAUUGAUAUUACUUUAGUUUAAAGAAAGGUUUGGAAUUGGCACUGUACAAAUGAAUAGUGUUUUAAUCCAAAUUUCAGAUUAAUUACAACCAUGCCAUUGAUCUUUCUGUUGGUUUUGGGUUAGUAGCCCAGCCUUCAGCCAGGCCCAAAUGUGUUGGUUUUGGCUAGGAAGCCCGACCCUCAGUGAGGCCCAAAUUAUUUGGUUACAUUGCUGCCCAUCUAAGAUUACAGUCUGAUGGUGGGGAUGGUCUAUUACGAAGGGCAAUUUUCCUCUAUGUUUUAGGCGAGAUAGAGGGUCACCGGGUAGGUAUCAUUUUCUUCCUCCUCCCACACCUUCAUUCUUCUUUUUCCUUUUCUUUUCUGCCAUCAGGCAGGUUGUUUUUUCUUUUCUUUUCAUAAUCAUAUUAUAUAUAUAUAUAUAUAUAUAUAUAUAUAUAUAUAUAUUCCAAGGUAUUACAUUCGACUCCCAUUAAAAUAAAUCUUGUCCUCGAGAUUUCUACCCUCGAAUAACAAAAAAGGAAUUUGAGCUAAUUCCACCAUUUCAUUUAUAGUGAAUAAAAUUAAAACCUCAGUCUACGAUUUUAUUCAAGCCCAAGAAAUAAAUACUUCCACGAAGUAAUCAUCUAUACUCAGGUUUCCUUCCACGCGCAUUAGUAGAAUAAAUAUCAGAAAUUUUAGCCAUACACAUUGGCAAAAAUAAUACCAAUCAUCAAGCCAUAAUCCUAAGGGCCUAAAUAAAUACUAGAUUAUCAACCACAUCCAUUGUUGGUUAGAUAAAUACUAGCAUCAUAAUCACAAUCAUUGGUAAACAACUUACCAUCAUUGCCAUAUUCAUCAUUGGCGAAACAGUUAUCAUAAAUUCUCAGCCGUAACCAUCGUCGGCCAAAUAAAUAUCAAAAUUUCAAGCCAUAAUCAUCAGUGGCUAAAUAAAUAUCACAAUUUCAAGCCAAACCAUUAGAAUUGGCAAAUCAAAUAUUAGGAAUUCCAACCAAAAUCAUUGAAAUUUCCAAACACAAUUAUUGCUAAAACCACUUAGCAUCAUUGGCUAUACGCAACCGUUACCACGAUUCUUCCUCAAAAUUUCUAGCCAUAAUUGCUGGCGAUAUCAAACAUCAGAAAAUUUUGCCAUAUUCAUCCUCGGCAAAACAAAUAUCAUGAAUUGCAGCCAAACCAUCAUUGGCCAAAUAAUUAUCAAAAUUUCAAGCCAAACCAUUUAAAUUAGCAAUUCAAAUAUAAAAAAUUCCAACCAAAUCAUGGGAAUUUGAAAUCACAAUCACUGGUAAAAUCACUUACCAUCAUUGGCUAUACACAGCUGUUAUCACGAUUCACUCCCAGAACUCGUGUGCCAACAUAAUUCAACCUGAUGACCGGUCUCGCCGCCGAUUACCCUUACUUCAAUCUGACCACAACAACACAAAGUAGGGUAACGAAAGUGUCCAUUUAAUCUUACACCCCAGAACCAAGUACCCUCAUCACGAGAUAUGGUACAAGUUCGGCCAUGUAAGCCUCCAGAGGUUUAGGGGAUCGAAACCAAAUGCAGUGCGCGGUGCCCUUUACUCGUAGUGCCUCUCAAUCCAGGAAUGUCCAUUUUCCAACAGUUAUACCACAUAGACUAUCCUGUAGGAGUAGCCCGUCCGUAUAACACCCUCUGAAGGUUUAGGGGAUCGAGACCCAAGGGAACCUCAUAGUCCUUUUCACUCUCAGGUCAUCAACAUCAUCUAGGGAACCUGCAUUUACAAUUCACAGGAAACUACACGCACAACGACAUGCGUGAGUAACCCACAAGACAUAUAUGUAUCACAUAUUCAUAGAAAUUAUGAAAUAUUGCAGCCACAAUGCAAAUCAUAAUUUCCACUAACGGAAUUCCAUAAUCAUCAUGGAAAUCACACCACAAUCACAAUGCAAAUCAUAUAUGUAUCUCAUAUAUAUAUAUAUAUAUAUCACAUGAAUGCCAAUUCAUUCACCAAAAUUAUGAAAGAAUGCAAUCACAAUGCAUAUCACAUUAAUGCCACUUCAUUCACAAAAAUUAUGAACUAAUGCAACACAAUGCAUAUCAUAAUUCACACCAACAAGAACUCAAGAAUGUUGCAUAAUAUGAAGCAGCAUCAUUCGCUCUGAUACCAAUUUGUAACAUCCCAAAAAUUUAAUUCGGAAGCCAAAUACUAAGGUAGGCCACAAUAAAAAUAAUGGUUAAUUAUUAUUCUAACUAACCACAGUACCAAAAAAAAAAUCGUUUUGUUUAGUUUAUGGUUGUAUCUAACAUCCUAGUUGGAUUGCCUACCUACCCUAACAGGGAUUAACCCAUUCGUGGUUCACCUUAAUCUUCCAGAACAAUAUACUAAAAUUUCAUCAUGAUCCAACGGUCGGAUCUUCGCCAUUCACGAAUUCUAUUGGCAGUCGACGUUUAUUUUACGAGCUUACAAAUCCAAUUCAAUAAGAUCCGUAUGUUGGAUUCCUGACCUAUAAGUUUCUAUGAUCCUCAAAUAUUACGCAUUAUAAUGUAUCAAAGUUUUGUGACGAUCCAUUAGUCGGAUCGUCAAUUCAUAUAUUAACCAAGCAACGUAUCGUAGUGAAUUUAGGUUCAAACGAUUAACCUACGUUAUACGAACAUCAAAACUAAAUUCAGGACAUCGAAUUUAGCCUAAAAAUAGCAUUGACGACCAUCUGGCCACGCGCUGCUGCACGCGCCGCAGUGGGUGGCGGUCGGCCACCCCAACGUGCUAGAAAAUUCAACUAAUUCUAAAAAUUCUCAAAAUUUAUAGUCAUGUAGAUCUCAAUGAGUAUAACAAGUUUCAUACCUGUGGCAAAGUCCAAUUUGGCUUGGAAAAGCUCCAAUUUGCCUCGAAACUCACCAUAACCUUAGAAAAGGGUGGCCCUCGAUUCGCCACCUCCGGUGCUCCGCCGCCCCAACCAAGACUUGGGACAUGUUCCUGGGUUCACAAGGUGUCGACCCAUGGUGGUGGUCGACGGUGGUGGCUUAAGAAUUAGACAGAUAGCCGCCAUGGGUGCCUUCGAACUCGCCGGAGAAGACGACGAGAGUUCGUCGUGAAACCUCGACCACAACCAUCCAACUUGGGUGGGAAAGGAAGUUGGGAUGACAAGGAAUUGAUUGGUGGUGGUGGCAUCGCCCAACUCACCGGGAAAACCGAUGGAAAGUCGUCGGGAAAUUGGCGGAAUGGGUCAGAUCUGGUGGGUUGCACAGGUAGACAGGAUGAGGCUUUGGGUUGGGUGCUAUGCACCUCCCUCAUUUUCUUCCUCCUCCCACACCUUCAUUUUCUUCUUUUUCCUUUUCUUUUCUGUCAUCAGGCAUGUUUUUUUUUCCAUAAUCAUAUUAUAUAUAUAUAUAUAUAUAUAUUCCAGGGUAUUACAGUAGCUUAGAUUUUUGAAUUGUUUAAUAUGUUAGGUUCGGUUUUGCGGGAUUUAUCAUGUUAGAGAGAGAGAGAGAGAGAGAGAGAGAGAGAGAGAGAGAGAGAGAGAGAUAGAGAGAGAGAGAUAGAGGAGAAAGCAUGGUUGUGUGCAUUUUUGGGGGUUAAUUAAUGGGUUAGUGCACAUGGUCAGUGAGUAGAGUGACAGAGUGAUGUAUGGGAGGGUAUGGGUUUUCAGUUUUUUCCUCUGAUUCAACAGGUUAUGCAUUGUUUGAAAAUCAUUGUUUAUUGUUUUGUUUUCCGUUUGCUUUGUUAAAACCAUAAUUCAAAUUUUUUGGUUUCACUGUGCUCAUUCAUGUGCUUCUUCAUAAUUUCCUGGUGCUUGCUUCUCAUCCCUCUGUUGGUAGAUUUUUUUUUCCCCAUUUCUUCGUUCCUUAUGUAUUCCUUGGUACAAAUCUAUCUAAUUUUUGGCUGUGUGAUGAUCCUUGUAGGUGAACUAUAUGAACGUUUUUUUUUUUUGAAACACAGAGCUUCAUCCACUCGAAUCUGCAAUUCAUAUUAGCAGGUUCAUCCUCACCCUCUCACUAUUAUCUGCUUAAAGCGAAACAUUUUAAUUAUGGCCUUGGUUGCUUGACAUUUUUAGGUAUAUAAUUUGCUAUACUUUUGUUUUAGUUUCUUCAGUUUGAUGUAAUGUUUUUUAUUGAACCGAUCGUUCUGUAUAGCAAUUAAAUUUUGACUCUUUUGUGCACUUUAGUUGAAAGUUGUUGGUUUUGAUUUGGCUUGAUCUUUCUGUUGCUGAGAAAUUGAGUGGAAGUUGUUGUUUUGAUUUCGGUGGUUUUCAAGAAUUGCAUGCUUAGUAAUCAGUAAUCGUCUGGCUUUAUUGGGGUAAGGAGAUAAAGCAAUUAAAUUUCAAAAUUUGGAUUUACAGUUCGUAUUUUGAGCCAUCGUUGGAGUUAUUUUUCAUAAGAUUUGGUGAUCUUCUAGAGUAAAAAUAAAUUUUAUAUUAUGAGGUUAAUGUUACUUACGUAGGUUUAUAUUGCAACUCACAAUUUUGCAUACAGUGCUAUGUCGUGUUUGUUUUAGAAAAUGGUGGCGAACAUCUUGAAAGCUUUGUACUUCUGAACAUUGAUGAAGCAAGGAGUUGAUUGGUCCAAGUAAAUUAUAUGUUAAAACAGGAUUCUAGAGGUGAUACCUGAAGCUUUGAUUUGUUAUUAAAUGAUUGCAUUACCGUUCCAGGGUACAGCUUCCUUUGUCGUGGCUGAAGCUGCAUAUGAGUUUGAGCACCGUGAUCUUCACUGGUAUGGUUAUUUUUGUGUCUAUGCUCUAUCAUAGUGACACUGGAAUUGCUAACUUGGGAAUAUGCAUUUGUUGCAGGGGAAACAUCCUUUUAAGUCGAAAUGAUUCUGUUACAAUGCAGUUCACUCUUGAGGGAAAACGAUGUUUAUUCAAACAUUUGGAUUGGUAGUAUCAAUAAUCGAUUCCAGUCUUUCAAGAAUCAGUACCGGUAAAUUAUUUGACUGAACUUUGUAAUGUGUUCAAUAUGGUAGAGGAUACAUAUGCUUUGCGUUUUAUCAUUCGAACGAUGCUGUUCUAUUGCUUAGAGCUUCUUUUGCAUGCUUCUAUACUGGUAGGACUUUUGUUUCUUCAUCUCUAGGUGAUCCAAUCUGCACCAGAUUAUUUGAGGAUUCCAUAAGGGAAACUUUAUUGCGUAUAUGUUCAUGAUUCAUAUUUCAUAUCAUCUGACAAAUGGUUUUAGCAGUAGUUGUACUUAUUAUAAUGUAUUUUUGGCCUUGAAGGAGGAGGAACGAGAUUGGGUUUGGGGGAGAGAGAGCGGGGGAGGAAAGAGAGGUGGAGAGAGAAUGACUGGUCGGAGUGUGCUUGGAGUGUUGUGGGUUUUGGAGAGAGGGGAGGUGUGAGACAGUGAGAGGGAGGAGUUGUUCGGUGGGGAAAGAGAGAUGACGAAGUAAAGCCAUUGCUGUUGAGCUUUGUUGUGCCUGUGAAGUCUCAAGUUUCAAAUUAGGGGAGGGAGUGUGUGUUGGGGUUUUGGAUAAGCAAAAGUCCUCCGAUGUCAAGUGGGAGACUGGCUGCGGAGGUGAUUUGGAAGAAGAAAAAAAAAGUUGCCAUAGCUAUUUGAUUUAGGUCGGACUAUUUUUCGUAAUUUAGAUAAAUGUAAUAAUUAUUUCUUUUUUUUCUUGAACUAGGGGUGAAUUUAAAAAAUCGAAAAAUAAAAAAAAAUUUAAAACCAACUAUAGGAUUGAAUUGAAAUAAAAACUGAAUUGAACUAGAAAAUUGGACCAAACCGAAGCCUUUUAAAACCACGUUGUUUUGCAAGUUUUAGCAUCAGUCCUCUGCAUAAACCCAAAAUUAAUAAAUGUUUCCAUCUAAUGGCCCGUGAUAAGCUCAAAAUUAUUUUAUUACACUCUCUUUUUUCAUUUUAUUUUAUUUUUGUUUGGGUCAAUAUUUAACUUUGGGCUUAGAUGAGAGAAAGCCCAAAAGAGUUCAAUAAGAAGAGUUUAUACCCAGAGCCCAGCACCAAGCCCAGAGGUCCACUUCGAGACAACAUGAUGAUUCCCCAUUAAAUGCAAAGAUUAGGUGCUUACAAAGGAAGUGAAGUGACAACCGAUGGAAAUCCAUCAACUCUCGGCCCAAAAGUACUUUAUAAAUGGCAUAACAUGUAAAAUACUAAUAGUUCCCUACCCUUCAAAUUGCUUUCAGGCAAGGACAGAAGCAACACAAGUCAAGUUAAUUCAUCUAUAAAAGGAGGAAGAGGGCCCAGAGACAAUGACACUCAACCAAUCAAACAAACAGACAUACAACCUGUCUCUUAGCCAAGCAAAUAUCCAGAAAGUCGUGCUUUGUCCAGACUCUGCACCCUUUUAGCCUUAGAUUUCCUUAGAAAGACAUCUUUUGUCUAUGUAAUAGUUCUGCUACCUUUUCCUAAAUAUUGUAGUAUUGAUCUCCCACAUAUAAACUCUUUUCCAGUCAUUCCCUUUAGCAUUCAAUCCUUUUGUAACUGCCAAGAGAAGAAACCGCAAGAUGUUUAACCCUGCCCGAGAAUGUGAAAUCUUGUCCGACUGUCUUCGUUCUGUUUUUCAAUUAAUAGAUCUGGUGUUAUAAGGCAUUCCCCAAUUUAUAUUCAAGUGUUUUCCAAUCUUUUGAUGACUCAAACCCCCAUUAGUUCUUAGAUCUGGUUCAUUUAAUGGUUUUAUCGUCAUAAGAAGAUUGAAAUGAAUUAAACUGAUGACUUGAUCAGAUCUGGACCCUCACCCCUUAAACAUAUAAGAUAAUAAGUCUUUGAUCUCAAGGCAUAGAAAAGAACUUAAUGUAGACUUAACUCAUCUACAACAAUCCUUUGAUAAACAAGAAGUCAAAAAUAACUUGGGGCGCAAGUAAUCGGCUUGUUCUACAUCUACCAUACAGAGAUGGCAGUGGCAUGCCCAAGCACUUAGUUGGUUUUGAUUGCGAGCCUCAAGGCCUUCACCUAAGGCCCUACAAAGGCACUUUUCAGAACUAACUUUGUUUUCCUAUUGUAGUAUUGCGACAAGCAGGAGCCCGACAAUCAACCAAAGUGCCAACUCCUCGAGGAGCUAUGUGCUAGAGCCAGGAACGCCCACCAGCCAGAUUUCUUGCCCGAACAAUUUUAUUAAACUAUUAUUUUAUCAUUUUCUUUCUUUCUUUUCUGAAUCUUUCAACUCUUGUUCAAGUAGGAGUAUGUGUACCUAAUUUUAUGCAGGAUUACGAAAUGACAUUAUGUGCGGGGGAGUUCCAAGUGAAUAGUCAGCACUAAAGUCAGCAGUCGGUUGCAGGCGAAGCUCUCGGCUCUAUUUGGUUAAAGUAUUCCAACGUCGUUUAUGAUGAUUCAGAUUGCUUCCUAGAGAUAUUGAUUAAUAUUGCAAGUCUUUCUUUGUUUUUUUAAUUCAACCCAACAACCUCAAUACACCUAAUUAUCAAUGUUUUUAAAUAAACUAUUAUUUCAAGUCGGCAGGAAGAUACCUGCAGCUUGAGAGGAAGCUACCCCCGCAGGUUUUUAAAAUGCAUCUUUGUAGAAGGUCCUCUGUCUGGUCCUCUGUCUGUUCUGCAUCUUCAAUGACACAAUUAAAUUCAGUGGUUGUUAACCAUCUGCUAAUUUUUCAUAUCUGAAGAGUGAAGGGCAAGCAAUUGAAAGUUCCCCCUGUUCAAAUUGCCAAGAAACCAGGUUAUGCUCGUUCCUAACUAUAUAUAUUUUUGGAGGUUUUUCCAUAUUUGUCUUACAAAUUUUUCCAUAGCUGUAUGUUUUUGCUAUAUUGCUCUAAUUAAUUUUACCGCUGUCAGUGUAUUCUUUUAGUGCCUAGAUAAAACAAAUUCAAAAUUGUAUAAAGGCGAAAAUGAGAACAUGAAAACUACAUUUAACGUGAUUCACUCAAUUUGAGCUACAUUCGCAGGUUGGUAGCUAGUUCUAUGGAGUAGGCCCAGUAGGGACAUUCACUUUACAAGAAGAAGGUAAACAAAUUCAAGCACACAAGUGUUUAUUAUUCUCACAUUUGCUCUUAAUUCCGGUUUCAACAAAUACCUUGACAGCUCCUUAAAAGUUCGAUUUAUAUUGCAUAUAACUCAGGAUAACAUGGGGUAGCAAUAUGAAUUAAAACCGAACGAAAAUAUAUUGAUAUAGGAGAUUGAUCCAAGGAAGUAAGCCUGAACUUCAGUCUUUUCCAUCUACUUAAAAUUGAUUUCAGUUUCUAGAUUUUAUCUACUUAAAAUUGAUUUCAGUUUCUAGUUUCAUGUUGUCACAACCCUUCCCCCACCAUUCUUUAAUCCUCAUGUCUUCCAUGUAUUUCCCUUAUAUAUCUAACAAAAAUAAAAACUAAAAACAGAAUGGUUAACAAACAGUAUCGUAGUUGUUCAAACGCUGUCUAGUGCACUUUAAAUAUGAUAGACUUGCAAUAAGAAACCGAGUAAGUUCCUCCUGUCUUUAUGCCUCUCAUUAAGUCCCAAAGAAUCCAACUGCCACCCAUUUGUUUUAAGCAACAAAAUAUAGUUAGUUCAGUGGUUGUACCUCAACGGUCAGUAUAAUUAACUCCCGAAAUCUUUCUCUCACAUGACAUUUUUCUUUACUUUUCCAAAUCCUAGCUAUUUUUUGCUCUUUUGUGUCUAAUUAAUAAAUUUCGUUAUUGAUGUUGUACUGUUAAAGAGGCACUAAUGUCUAACAUGAUCAUGUAUGUUCUUAAAGCAUAUAUUUAUCCUUUGCAGUUUAGAAUUGGCAAUAACCAAAAUGCUAACAUUUAUGCAUUAAUGCAUCCGUGUGUGGUCUUUGUAGUGUAUUCCGAACAAGAUGAAGCCAAGACACAAAAAGCAAUAAAAAGAGAGAAGACAACCGAUGUUUUGCCACUUUAUAGAGUAUUUGUUUAGUUUCAUUCAUAUUUUGUGUUUUCUGUGCAGUAGAGAAACCGCACAACAGAAAGAACUUCUCGUCUACUGUACAUCCAAGAGCCAAGUCUUAAAAUGAUGAUGAAUCCUUUGGGGAGUACUGUGGCGAUGAGCAUGGGAGGAACCUGUAUGCCUUUUCCUACUUCAACUCCACAAUGGAAAUAUGAUGUCUUCUGGAGUUUUAGAGGUGAUGAUGCCCGCAAGGGUUUCACCGCUUCCUGCACACAUUCCCACCGUUCAAGUCCUCCAUGGAAACCUGAAGUUUUUUUAAGUUUUAGAGGUGAUUACACUCGGAGGCGUUUCAGAGUUGCCCGUGCAUUUUUCUCCCCUUCAACUCCUCAAUGGAAAUAUGAUGUAUUUUUGAGCUUUAGAGGUGAAGACUCUAGAAAGGGAUUCACAGACCACUUAUACACUGCACUGGAAAGUCAUGGAAUAAUAACUUUUAGGGAUGACCCUAAACUUCAAAAAGGGGAAUCUAUUUCUCCCGGACUUGUUACUGCAAUUGAAGAAUCAAGAUUUGCACUCAUUGUUCUCUCGGAAAGUUAUGCAACGUCGUCAUGGUGCUUGGACGAACUUUUACAUAUUCUUAAAUGCAUGGAAGCAAGAGAAGCAGUGCUACCAAUUUUUUAUAAUGUUGAUCCCUCUAAUGUAAGAAAGCAAACAGGAUGUUUUGCAGAAGCCUUCAAUAAACAUGAAAAAGACAGGGUAGACGAAAAGAAGGUGCGAAGUUGGAGAUAUGCUUUGGCGAAAGUGGCAAAUUUCUCUGGGUGGGAUUCAAAGGACUGGUAAUGUUUUGAUUUUUCUCGCAAGCAUGUCCUUAUUUAAUGACGCGCGCGCACCUGCAACCACACCCACACACCCACACACACGCAUAGAACCGCACACUCAUACCCAUAGUGUGACUUCUGUUUGAGGAAUAGAAAUAUAUCACAAAUUACAAUGAACAUAGCUAUAAAUGCCAUUAAAAGAAUUCCAUCUGUAGUUGUAUAAUACUUAUACAAUGCACAUCAUAUAUGUUGAGAAUGAAUUCCACAUUAAUGGGAAGAGGGACUUUGCAUGAACUUAUAAGUAAGUUGGGCUACUCUCCAUAUUGCCAAUUGGUUUAUGAUGGAACCUCAACUUUCUUCAUGGUAUCAAAGCAGGUUGUCCCAAUGUGAAGUCAAAUGGCCACAUGUGCUCCAUGUCAUCCGAUUAUGUUGUCCACGUGUUAGGCUUAAAAAUUUGCCACACAGGAAGGGGCGUGUUGAUAAUGAAUCUCACAUUGAUGGGAGGGGGAACCUUGCAUGUGCUUAUAAGUAAGUUGUGUUAGGAAUGUCAGUACUACAAGAUAGAGAAUGCACAACGUAAAAUAGAAAAUGGACACUAAGAAUUUAUGUGUGGUUCGGCAAUUUAUGCCUACGUCCACGAAACAAGGAUCAAUCUUCACUAUAUGAAAAAGAUGAGUACAACAAGAGUAGUCUUACCAAGCCAAAGACAAGGCUUGAUGGAUACAAGAAAGUAUAACAACACUUUCUCUCACACUAAACUUCACUCACACCAUGUGUAGUGGAACACACUCACUCUCACUCUUGGAGUGGAACUCUAGCUUUGGACUUGAUCCUUUUCUACUCACUCUUGGUUCUUAAUUGGUUACAUCACACCCAUAUUUAUAGGUGAGGGUUUGGCAUUCUACUAGUUUCUAGUUUCUAGUGUAUUCUUCAAACCUCUAGCAUAGAUAAUUCUAGACUAGCCACAAAAUUGUAGCUUCUAGAUCUUUCCAUUUGCAACCAAGGAAGCUAGUACUCUCUAGCUUCUUCCAUCAACUUAAUAACAUGCUAGAAUUGUCUAGCAUGCUCCAGCCACCUCACUUGCUUACUAGAAUAAUCUAGAACAUUGAUCAUGGGCUGGACCAUAUACCAACAAGUUGGGCUAGUCUUGAUAUCGCCCAUUAGUUUUAUGAUGGAACCCCAAUUUUCUUCAAUAUUUAGGUGUGUGAUUAUUGUGUUUUGGCUUGAUUCAAUGCAAAAAAUAGUGAAAACAUUUCGGAACUAAUAUAUCUAACUCUAUUCUUUUCCAUAGGUCUGAAGCAAAGCUUGUCAAAGAUAUUGUUCAAGUGGUAUGGAAAAAGUUGCGCCCAACAUUAUUAUGUCAUGUGAGCGACUUUGUUGCAAUCGAUUCAAGGUCGAAACCAAUUAUUGAUUUGUGUUUAGAUGCAACGGUGAAUCAUGGUUGCUUUAUUGGGAUAUGGGGGAUGGGCGGUAUUGGUAAGACAACUAUUGCAAGAGUUGUGUACGAGAGAAUCUCUCAUGAGUUUGAGUUCCAAAUAUUUCUAGCUGAUGUUAGAAGUAAUGUCGAAAAAGGUGGUCUACCUCACCUGCAAAAGCAACUUCUUUGUAAAAUCGGCAUGGAAAAGAUUGACAUAUGGGAGGUUCAUGAAGGAGCAGCAAUGAUACGCAGGUUUCUACGUGGCAAAAAGGUUCUUUUAGUUCUUGAUGAUGUGAACCAUUUGCAUCAAUUAGAAUAUUUGGCUGGAAAUCAAGAGUGGUUUGGAUUGGGGAGCAGAGUUCUCAUUACAUCAAGAGAUGAGCAUUUGUUAUUUAAACACGGAGUGGAGAGACGGUUUGAGGUUGAAGGACUCAAUAACGAUGACUCUCUUCAACUUUUUAGCUGGAAUGCCUUUAAGAAAGAUUGCCCUGAACCAGGUUUUGUUCAUUUGUCAAAUCGUGUGG
rnacentral:lncRNA from 1 species